UACGUAGGGGGCUAGCGUUGUCCGGAAUCAUUGGGCGUAAAGCGCGUGUAGGCGGUUCGGUAAGUCCGCUGUGAAAGUCGGGGGCUCAACCCUCGGAUGCCGGUGGAUACUGUCGGGCUUGAGUACAGAAGAGGCGAGUGGAAUUCCUGGUGUAGCGGUGAAAUGCGCAGAUAUCAGGAGGAACACCAAUUGCGAAGGCAGCUCGCUGGGACGUUACUGACGCUGAGACGCGAAAGCGUGGGGAGCGAACCGG
rnacentral:rRNA from 1 species